GAACCCCUCAAGCGGCGACUUCUCUUCUCCCCACGGUGACGUAGCAAGGCGGACAACGGCAUAGCAGGGCAGACAACGACGUAGAAGGACAGCCGACGCGUUUCUACUCUAGUUUUUGCGGCGGUUUGUGGCGGAGUACGGCUGACGGCAGUGUUUUGACACUCUCUUGAUUUUUUAGUAACAACCGACCCCUAGCAACUUAAUUUAGGAGGUCCACACCCUUGUGGCGACGACAACGGCUGUCGAGGUGUUUUCCUUCUUUUUUGCUGCUGUAAAACGUCGAAAGAAAAAAAACAUAGUCCUUGGUGUUCGCCGUUUACUCACUUCCAUUCGAGGCUUGAUUCGCGCUACCCACACCUAUUCGAACUAGGUCUAAGCUACCCACUCCCAAUCGAAGUCAAUUUCGAGGUGUUGAAUCAAUGCAAGAUUUAGGAGCGUGGCAGUGGGUAAGCAGUACUAGGGGCGGGUGCGUGAGUGAUUGUGUGUUGAUGUUAUCGAAUAAGUUUUUGCGUUGUUAUUUUUCAUUACUCUCAACUUGUAUGUCUACUUCUAUUAAUCAAUGCAGGCUUUGUGUCUUGUUGUGCUUGACUCUGUAAAUGAUACUAUUAUAUUUGUCAAGGUUGGACUUGGUUUUCUUAA